CUUAUUUUUUCAAUUGGGAUUAAUCCCACCCUCAAUUCCCACUUGUCAAACACCCCCUAUUGAAUACACCAAUAAUCUACUUCUCCCUCGUCAAUUCUCCUUCUCGACGAUGACUCUUCUCGCGACGCCGCCUUCAAGAGCUUCCGCUAGGUCGCCCUCGGUCUAGAUCUUCUUCCUCCCUCCAGCCGCGAGUCAAGGAUUCCUCCUUUAUCCUCUCGGCUGCAAGUCAGGGCUGCUGGCCACUGCUCCAAGGGUUGACUCCUCCUUCAAGGCUUUGGGCGACUCCAAGAAUCAGCAUCACUCAAAGGAUUUUCGGCCCUCACGGUUACCAUAACUUCUACUUUCUUUCUCUUCUUUCUGAUUUUUAUUCAAUUUUUUUAAUACGGAUAUUGAUAACGAUUAUUUUUUAAUACGGAGGAAGAGGCUUGAUUUUUCUCUCUACUUUGAUUGUUGUUGUUAUUGUAGUUUAAUGGAAAAGGUUUUUGAUUAAAAUUAGGUCGUGGUGCGAAUUUAGGUUAAAAUUCUAAAAAUUGUUGUGAUUGUAGUGUUCAUCCUGGAUUUUUAAUUGAAAUUAGACAAUUGUACAAUACUAAGUUAAAAUUAAUUGCAGCAUUUUAGUCAAUUACUUGGAAUCAACUUUGUUAUUGCAGGCACUUUCAACAAUUCAAAACCUUUCAUCCAAAAUCUGAUGAUAACAUGAACCACUGACAAUUAGAAUAAUAAGCAAAACUAAAUUGGGAUUGCAAAAGUAAAAACAGAGAAUGUAAAAUAUAGUCAUGAACAAUGGAUUGAAUUAGGAUGGACGCCUCACCACCUUAGAACAUACAAGAUCUAUGUUACAGUUCUUUGAAGUCAUUUUAUUGGCUUACCUUUUCGGUGCAUUGUGUAAUUUUCUUGUACUAGUAUUUAUUUUGGUUAUUGCCUUUAUUUAUUUGUGUUUAUGCAGUUGGUUUGCAGAAAUUUCAGGUACGUAGCUUAUGAGAGACACUCUGAGGCAUUGGAUAUCCUUAAGUCAUGUGCCUAUCUCUAAUUGCAACAUGAUCAGGUCUUCUAUAUUGAACACCAACUUAUAAUUUUUGUUCAAUUUUUAUUCAAUUGUAUGGGAGAGUGCGGUCCAUUUGCUGAAAGUUAUGCUAAUUUUCUAAUUAAUGGCUUGUGUCGUUGUAGGGAUAGUUAACAAUAACUCUACUUUGUUUCUAUAAGUUGUUUCCUAUGAACUUAUGAAGCUUUGGGGAUGAUAUUAUACUUCUAUUAUUUGGAGAAAUAGAAACCUAGGUGUCAUACUUUAUCUUCAAACUGUUAUAUAUGAAAAUUCCUUCUCCCUAUAUGAAUCUUAUACGAAGUAUAAUUAUCCUACUGAACGGGAGUUUAAUCAAUCUUGUUGAUGAAUUUGUUUAUGAUUGGAAGGUUACAUAAUAUUAAGUUAUUAACUAAUCUCUUAAAAUAGGGAGCUGCCCAUUGUUUAGACAGCCAUAUACAUCCAUGCAUGGUCAACCUUUUGUCGUUUUGCUUUUGUACCUAUUGAAAUAUGUGAAUUUGUCCAAAUGUGACUAUGUGAGAUUGUGAGGCCUGAUUGUAUCUGUGAACUAAAUGAUGUUCUGCAUAUCUAUUUAAAAUUUUAUUCACUAUUAAUUCUGCUACUGUUUUGUUUGGGAUCUAAUUUCGUCUUAGACAAACUGGCUUUGAGCUUCUGAACUCUAUCAAUGGAGAGUAAGCUCUUUUAGCUCCACAAUUGUCGUUGCAUUAUUAUCUACAUGUUUGGAAGCUGUAGCUCAAAUGCUUUAACUCUUGAGAGUAUUGCAUAUGAGUUGUCACUUGUCAGUAUGAUUGUCUAUUAAUUUCUACUCUUCUUUCUAGGGUUCUAAGUGUAUUUUACCUCUAGUCUGUAGGGCCGAAAUAGAAAUGGAUUGGAGCAGGCCUUACAAGUUUUGAAAUCAAAGAUUUAAAAAUACAAACUGGGCGUCGACCACUGAACCACCUAAGACAAAACCGCUUACAUGUUAACCCUCAUUCCAUGCUUGCUAGCUCUUGUUAUCAUAAAAAAUGGGGUUCUCUUAGCUUGAAAAGUUUCACGUUUGCUUGCUCUACCUCAAUGUUCCUUCAGACUAUGCUUACAUGAUUUCGUUGUGUUUUUUAUGCUGAAUUUUCGUAUGUUUCAAUAAAUUUGUGAGUUUUGGCGUAAUUUUUCU